rnacentral:rRNA from 1 species
CGCUGGCGGCGUGGCUAAAACAUGCAAGUCGUACGGAAAGGUUGCUUCUGAUCCUUCGGGUGACGAAGCGAUACUCGAGUGGCGAAAGGGCGAGGAAUACAUGGGCAACGUGCCUUAUGCACGAGGAUAACUGCGGGAAGCUGCAGUUAAUACUCGAUAAGACCACAGCAUCUUCGGAUGCAGCGGUCAAAGGUGGGGACCUUCGGGCCUACCGGCAUUAGAGCGACCCAUGUCCUAUCAGCUUGUUGGUGAGGUAACGGCUCACCAAGGCGACGACGGGUACCGGGACUGACAGGUUGACCCGGCGCAUCGGGACUGAGACACUGCCCGGACUCCUACGGGCGGCUGCAGUAACGAAUAUUCCGCAAUGGGCGAAAGCCUGACGGAGCGACGCCGCGUGUGGGAGGAAGCCCUUCGGGGUGUAAACCACUGUCAGGGAUUACCAAGCAAAGUUGGCGAAUAGCCUUCUGCGUUGAGGCGUCCCAGAGGAAGCCACGGCUAACUUCGUGCCAGCAGCCGAGGUACUACGACGGUGGCGAGCGUCGUCCGGAAUCACUGGGCUUACAG